UACGAAGGGGGCUAGCGUUGCUCGGAAUCACUGGGCGUAAAGCACACGUAGGCGGCUUUUUAAGUCAGGGGUGAAAUCCUGGAGCUCAACUCCAGAACUGCCUUUGAUACUGGAGGAUCUUGGAGUUCGGGAGAGGUGAGUGGGAACUGCGAGUGUAGAGGUGAAAUUCGUAGAUAUUCGCAAGAACACCAGUGGCGGAAGGCGGCUCACUGGCCCGAUACCUGACGCUGACGG
rnacentral:rRNA from 1 species